rnacentral:rRNA from 1 species
GACGAACGCUGGCGGCGUGCUUAACACAUGCAAGUCGAACGGAAAGGCCCCUUUGGGGGUACUCGAGUGGCGAACGGGUGAGUAACACGUGCGUAACCUGCCCUUGACUUCGGGAUAACUUCAGGAAACUGGGGCUAAUACCGGAUAGGAAUCCUUGCUGCAUGGUGGGGGUUGGAAAGCUUCGGCGGGUUUUGAUGGACUCGCGGCUUAUCAGCUUGUUGGUGGGGUAGCGGCUUACCAAGGCAUCGACGCGUAGCCGGCCUGAGAGGGCGACCGGCCACACUGGAACGGAGACACGGGCGAGACUCCUACGGGAGGCAGCAGUAGGGAAUCUGCCGCAAUGGGCGAAAGCCUGACGGAGCAACGCCGCGUGAGUGAUGAAGGUCUUCGGAUCGUAAAACUCUGUUAUUAGGGAAGAACAAAUGUGUAAGUAACUAUGCACGUCUGGACGGUACCUAAUCAGAAAGCCACGGCUAACUACGUG